AAGUAAAUCAAAUACGAAAGUUCAGAAGAAGUUUUCCCCAACUGAAAAAUAAUACUCAGAAUGUGUACGUGUACUGCUGUAACAAAUUGUGCCGGUGAAGGUGAACGUUCUUUUUUAGUAUUAAAAUGGAUUAAGAACUAUACGGAAUUUGCAAUGAAAUAAGACGGUUAAAUAGCUUCAUUUAAUAUUGAAGCAGAAUUUUUGAAGUAACUAGAUUUGAAGAG